rnacentral:rRNA from 1 species
UAACAUGGUAGCUUGCUACCGAUGACGACCGGCGCACGGGUGCGCAACGCGUAUACAAUCUGCCCCCUACUGUGGGAUAGCCCAGAGAAAUUUGGAUUAAUACCACAUGGUACCAUAUUACGGCAUCGUAUUUAUGGUUAAAGGUUACGGUAGGGGAUGAGUAUGCGUCCCAUUAGUUAGUUGGUGAGGUAACGGCUCACCAAGACCGCGAUGGGUAGGGGCCCUGAGAGGGGGAUCCCCCACACUGGUACUGAGACACGGACCAGACUCCUACGGGAGGCAGCAGUGAGGAAUAUUGGACAAUGGGCGGGAGCCUGAUCCAGCCAUGCCGCGUGCAGGAAGAAUGCCCUAUGGGUAGUAAACUGCUUUUAUACGGGAAGAAAAAGGGCUACGUGUAGCCUACUGACGGUACCGUAAGAAUAAGGACCGGCUAACUCCGUGCCAGCAGCCGCGGUAAUACGGAGGGUCCGAGCGUUAUCCGGAAUUAUUGGGUUUAAAGGGUCCGUAGGCGGGCCGAUAAGUCAGGGGUGAAAGUUUGCAGCUCAACUGUAAAAUUGCCUUUGAUACUGUCGGUCUUGAGUUAUAGUGAAGUUGCCGGAAUAUGUAGUGUAGCGGUGAAAUGCAUAGAUAUUACAUAGAACACCGAUUGCGAAGGCAGGUGACUAACUAUAUACUGACGCUGAUGGACGAAAGCGUGGGGAGCGAACAGGAUUAGAUACCCUGGUAGUCCACGCCGUAAACGAUGGAUACUAGCUGUCCGGGUCCUUGAGACCUGGGCGGCCAAGCGAAAGUGAUAAGUAUCCCACCUGGGGAGUACGUUCGCAAGAAUGAAACUCAAAGGAAUUGACGGGGGCCCGCACAAGCGGUGGAGCAUGUGGUUUAAUUCGAUGAUACGCGAGGAACCUUACCAGGGCUUAAAUGCAUUUUGACAGGGGUAGAGAUACCUUUUCCUUCGGGCAAUUUGCAAGGUGCUGCAUGGUUGUCGUCAGCUCGUGCCGUGAGGUGUCAGGUUAAGUCCUAUAACGAGCGCAACCCCUACCGUUAGUUGCCAGCGAGUCAUGUC